rnacentral:rRNA from 1 species
AUAUUGCGCAAUGGAGGGAACUCUGACGCAGCGACGCCGCGUGAGCGAUGAAGGUCUNNNGAUCGNACAGCUCUGUCCUUGGGNAAGNAGGUCUUCGGACUUGACGGUACCUUAGGAGCAAGCCCCGGCUAACUCUGUGCCAGCAGCCGCGGUAAUACAGAGGGUGCAAGCGUUAAUCGGAAUUACUGGGCGUAAAGGGUGCGUAGGCGGCCCUUUAAGUCAGAUGUGAAAGGCCACGGCUUAACCGUGGAACUGCAUUUGAAACUGGAAGGCUUGAGUAUCGGAGAGGGUAGUGGAAUUCCCAGUGUAGCGGUGAAAUGCGUAGAUAUUGGGAGGAACACCAGUGGCGAAGGCGACUACCUGGACGAAAACUGACGCUGAUGCACGAAAGCUAGGGGAGCAAACA